rnacentral:rRNA from 2 species
UUAAGCGACUAAGCGUACACGGUGGAUGCCCUGGCAGUCAGAGGCGAUGAAGGACGUGCUAAUCUGCGAAAAGCGUCGGUAAGGUGAUAUGAACCGUUAUAACCGGCGAUGUCCGAAUGGGGAAACCCAGUGCAAUUCGUUGCACUAUCGUUAACUGAAUACAUAGGUUAACGAGGCGAACCGGGGGAACUGAAACAUCUAAGUACCCCGAGGAAAAGAAAUCAACCGAGAUUCCCCCAGUAGCGGCGAGCGAACGGGGAGCAGCCCAGAGUCUGAAUCAGCUUGUGUGUUAGUGGAACGGUCUGGAAAGUCCGACGGUACAGGGUGAUAGUCCCGUACACCAAAAUGCACAGGCUGUGAACUCGAAGAGUAGGGCGGGACACGUGGUAUCCUGUCUGAAUAUGGGGGGACCAUCCUCCAAGGCUAAAUACUCCUGACUGACCGAUAGUGAACCAGUACCGUGAGGGAAAGGCGAAAAGAACCCCGGCGAGGGGAGUGAAAAAGAACCUGAAACCGUGUACGUACAAGCAGUGGGAGCACCUUCGGGUGUGACUGCGUACCUUUUGUAUAAUGGGUCAGCGACUUAUAUUCUGUAGCAAGGUUAACCGUAUAGGGGAGCCGCAGGGAAACCGAGUCUUAACUGGGCGUUAAGUUGCAGGGUAUAGACCCGAAACCCGGUGAUCUAGCCAUGGGCAGGUUGAAGGUUGGGUAACACUAACUGGAGGACCGAACCGACUAAUGUUGAAAAAUUAGCGGAUGACUUGUGGCUGGGGGUGAAAGGCCAAUCAAACCGGGAGAUAGCUGGUUCUCCCCGAAAGCUAUUUAGGUAGCGCCUCGUGAACUCAUCUUCGGGGGUAGAGCACUGUUUCGGCUAGGGGGUCAUCCCGACUUACCAACCCGAUGCAAACUACGAAUACCGAAGAAUGUUAUCACGGGAGACACACGGCGGGUGCUAACGUCCGUCGUGAAGAGGGAAACAACCCAGACCGCCAGCUAAGGUCCCAAAGUCAUGGUUAAGUGGGAAACGAUGUGGGAAGGCACAGACAGCCAGGAUGUUGGCUUAGAAGCAGCCAUCAUUUAAAGAAAGCGUAAUAGCUCACUGGUCGAGUCGGCCUGCGCGGAAGAUGUAACGGGGCUAAACCAUGCACCGAAGCUGCGGCAGCGACACUAUGUGUUGUUGGGUAGGGGAGCGUUCUGUAAGCCUGCGAAGGUGACCUGUGAGGGUUGCUGGAGGUAUCAGAAGUGCGAAUGCUGACAUAAGUAACGAUAAAGCGGGUGAAAAGCCCGCUCGCCGGAAGACCAAGGGUUCCUGUCCAACGUUAAUCGGGGCAGGGUGAGUCGACCCCUAAGGCGAGGCCGAAAGGCGUAGUCGAUGGGAAACAGGUUAAUAUUCCUGUACUUGGUGUUACUGCGAAGGGGGGACGGAGAAGGCUAUGUUAGCCGGGCGACGGUUGUCCCGGUUUAAGCAUGUAGGCUGGUUAUCCAGGCAAAUCCGGAUAAUCAAGGCUGAGGUGUGAUGACGAGGCACUACGGUGCUGAAGUAACAAAUGCCCUGCUUCCAGGAAAAGCCUCUAAGCAUCAGGUAACAUUGAAUCGUACCCCAAACCGACACAGGUGGUCAGGUAGAGAAUACCAAGGCGCUUGAGAGAACUCGGGUGAAGGAACUAGGCAAAAUGGUGCCGUAACUUCGGGAGAAGGCACGCUGGUGUGUAGGUGAAGCCCCUGCGGGUGGAGCUGAGACCAGUCGAAGAUACCAGCUGGCUGCAACUGUUUAUUAAAAACACAGCACUGUGCAAACACGAAAGUGGACGUAUACGGUGUGACGCCUGCCCGGUGCCGGAAGGUUAAUUGAUGGGGUUAUCCGUAAGGAGAAGCUCUUGAUCGAAGCCCCGGUAAACGGCGGCCGUAACUAUAACGGUCCUAAGGUAGCGAAAUUCCUUGUCGGGUAAGUUCCGACCUGCACGAAUGGCGUAAUGAUGGCCAGGCUGUCUCCACCCGAGACUCAGUGAAAUUGAACUCGCUGUGAAGAUGCAGUGUACCCGCGGCAAGACGGAAAGACCCCGUGAACCUUUACUAUAGCUUGACACUGAACAUUGAGCCUUGAUGUGUAGGAUAGGUGGGAGGCUUUGAAGCGUGGACGCCAGUCUGCGUGGAGCCAACCUUGAAAUACCACCCUUUAAUGUUUGAUGUUCUAACGUUGGCCCCUGACCGGGGUUGCGGACAGUGUCUGGUGGGUAGUUUGACUGGGGCGGUCUCCUCCCAAAGCGUAACGGAGGAGCACGAAGGUUAGCUAAUCCUGGUCGGACAUCAGGAGGUUAGUGCAAUGGCAUAAGCUAGCUUGACUGCGAGCGUGACGGCGCGAGCAGGUGCGAAAGCAGGUCAUAGUGAUCCGGUGGUUCUGAAUGGAAGGGCCAUCGCUCAACGGAUAAAAGGUACUCCGGGGAUAACAGGCUGAUACCGCCCAAGAGUUCAUAUCGACGGCGGUGUUUGGCACCUCGAUGUCGGCUCAUCACAUCCUGGGGCUGAAGUAGGUCCCAAGGGUAUGGCUGUUCGCCAUUUAAAGUGGUACGCGAGCUGGGUUUAGAACGUCGUGAGACAGUUCGGUCCCUAUCUGCCGUGGGCGCUGGAGAAUUGAGGGGGGCUGCUCCUAGUACGAGAGGACCGGAGUGGACGCAUCACUGGUGUUCGGGUUGUCAUGCCAAUGGCACUGCCCGGUAGCUAAAUGCGGAAGAGAUAAGUGCUGAAAGCAUCUAAGCACGAAACUUGCCCCGAGAUGAGUUCUCCCUGAGACUUUAAGUCUCCUGAAGGAACGUUAAAGACGAUGACGUUGAUAGGCCGGGUGUGUAAGCGCAGCGAUGCGUUGAGCUAACCGGUACUAAUGAACCGUGAGGCUUAACCUU